rnacentral:lncRNA from 1 species
AUGUUGAACUUGUCAUGCAGCAUAGGCAUGAGGGAUUGGAGCUUGAAAGAUGAUCAACUAAGGUAGUUAUAUAUUAAUGGAAUGUGGAGGAAGGUACUUCCCUGACUCAAUUAGAUUAAAUUAUAGCAAAAAUAUGCACAAAUGGAAAGAAGAACAUAAGAAGUUACAGAGGAAGAAAACAAGAAAUUAAGAGGAAGCUAAAGAUGAGAUACCAUUCCAAAUUAGGUUAUGUCCUUCAAUCAUCUUCUCCAACCCCAA